UUUAUAAUUCCUCUUUUUCUCUCUUAGAGAAGGUAAAGGUACUUAUUACAAUCUCUUCUGAUGCUUUUGGAAUAUCAGGACCUAUCGAUAUCUCUUUCUUUCCUUUGAUAUCUCUUUACGUCUAAGGGGCUAAAGUCACUUAGCCGAAAUAUUUGAGAGAAUCGAUAGCUGCCUUAAUUUGACAUGACUCGCGCUUGACGCAAGCCGGACAAAGAGGCAAAUCAAAUGAAGCGAACGCAAUUGAAGCGAACGUUGUCAGCACGAUUAUCCUAGGCGUCGUCGUUAGAGCUAUCGAGUUAUCAAAUGAAACGCUGCGCUCUCAGAGAUGCCUUAGUGAAGUUCCGGUCGUUGAAAGCGUGGCGCGUAUUAAAUGUCCGAGGGAACCGGGAAUUAACAUCGUUCCGCGUUGUUUCUGGCUGAAUAAGCGCGCGAAUUUUCUUGUUCGGCACUUUAGAAAAUUACUCAUAUUUGCGUCAUUUUGCAGAAGAAGAGAGGAAAGAAAGGAACAAAAAGUACGAAGAAAAUAUCACCUUAUUUCGCAAAAUUAAAGCAAUAAUCUGAGGACUAAUUUAAAGACUACUACCUUUCGGAGAAGCUUGUGAAGGAGGUAAUACGGGAUCCUCCGGAAUUUCGGUUUUACCAAUUCCUCGAACUCUCACAUCAUUCACCAGAAUCUUGCGCCCUGAUUAGAGAAUUUACCUUUCUAGAAAAGGAGUUAGAAAAUCUCCGUGUCUGGUGAUGGUGUCCCCUGAAUUCUGAUUUACAGAAGUGCACAUUAAAGCGCAAUCGGUGCCAUCGUAACGCCCAAAAAUUUGCGGAAAGUAUUCGGGUAGCAAGCGACCCAGAACGAGAUUCGCGUCCGUCACAGUCAGUGGACCAUCCUUCUUGUAACACGCGGGACCAGGAUGAGCCCCUGCGCUCUCAGGCCCAAC